UACGAAGGGGGCUAGCGUUGCUCGGAAUUACUGGGCGUAAAGCGCACGUAGGCGGCUUUCUAAGUCGGGGGUGAAAUCCUGGAGCUCAACUCCAGAACUGCCUUCGAUACUGGAAAGCUCGAGUCCGGGAGAGGUGAGUGGAACUGCGAGUGUAGAGGUGAAAUUCGUAGAUAUUCGCAAGAACACCAGAGCGAAGGCGGCCA
rnacentral:rRNA from 1 species